AGGGCGGUCUGUCGCUAGUCGCCGCAGUGGCGGUGGCGGGAGGAAAGUCCGGGCAACACAGGGCACCAUACUUCCUAACGGGAAGUGGGCCGUGAGGUUCACACAAGCGCAGAAGAAAAUAACCGCCCGCGUCUUGUUGCGCGGGUAAGGGUGAGAAGGCGAGGUAAGAGCUCACCGCCGCAGUGGCGACACUUGCGGGUCAGUGCGCCGUAUGGGUUGAAAGAUCAAGUAAACCGGCGUCAUGCUCAGGGCUGCCCGCCCGAAUUUACCGCCGGAGGGUAGAUCGAUAGAGUCCGCUGGUGACAGCGGAUCCAGAUAAAUGACAGGCGCGGCACGUGCGUGCCGUACAGAACCCGGCUUAUAGCCCGGCUAU
rnacentral:RNase_P_RNA from 1 species